GAUCAUGGCUCAGAGCGAACGCUGGCGGCAGGCUUAACACAUGCAAGUCGAGCGGGCAUCCUUGUGGUGUCAGCGGCAGACGGGUGAGUAACGCGUGGGAACGUGCCCUUCGGUUCGGAAUAACUCAGGGAAACUUGAGCUAAUACCGGAUACGCCCUUCUGGGGAAAGGCUUGCUGCCGAAGGAUCGGCCCGCGUCUGAUUAGCUGGUUGGUGAGGUUACGGCUCACCAAGGCGACGAU
rnacentral:rRNA from 1 species